rnacentral:rRNA from 1 species
AUGGCGGCGCCGUGGAGCGAGAGCGAGAACGAGAGGUUUGAGCGCGCGCUGGACACGUACGACCGCGACACGCCCGGCCGCUGGGACCGCGUCGCCGCCGCCGUCGGGGGCGGCAAGACGGCCGACGACGUCAGGCGCCACUACGACCGGCUCGUCGACGACCUCCGCCGCAUCGAGGCCGGCGCCAACUCCAAUGGCGGAACUCAUGACGCCGGCAGCAGCAGCAACGGCGCGGGGAAUAACGGAAGCAGAGGAGGGUCAGGGGGCAGCCGGCGGCCCCAGACAUAA